GAUGAACGCUAGCGGGAGGCUUAAUACAUGCAAGUCGAGGGAGAAAUUGUUUUUCGGAAUAAUGGAAACCGGCGCACGGGUGAGUAACGCGUACACUACCUACCAUAUACUGGGGAAUAGCCUUUGGAAACGAAGAGUAAUACCCCAUAGUCUCGCAAGAGUAAAGCUCCGGCGGUAUAUGAUGGGUGUGCGUCUGAUUAGCUAGUUGGUAAGGUAACGGCUUACCAAGGCUACGAUCAGUAGGGGGCGUGAGAGCGUGAUCCCCCACACGGGUACUGAGACACGGACCCGACUCCUACGGGAGGCAGCAGUAAGGAAUAUUGGACAAUGGGCGAAAGCCUGAUCCAGCCAUCCCGCGUGAAGGAUGAAGGCCCUAUGGGUCGUAAACUUCUUUUGCUUGGAAAGAAACGCCUGGAUUUAUCUGGGCCUGACGGUACCUUGCGAAUAAGCACCGGCUAACUCCG
rnacentral:rRNA from 1 species